UGUGAAUUUCACCGGGCUAUUGGUAACAUCGGUCUUAUUGUUCGGCGCUGAUAGAAAUGGCUUCCUUCAAGGGCUCCAUCAUCCUCGUGAUUUUCGUUGGCUGCAUGUACCUUCUGGAGGUCAACGCUCAAAACAAUAACGAUGGGAAUAAUAACAACGGAGGUGGUGGCUCUGGAGGUGGUGGUGAUAGCAACUCCGGCGAUAGUGAUAGCGGUAGCAGCGGCGGAAUUUUGUCCUCAAUAUUGGGCAGAUUUCCAGUCUUCGGCGGUAUAAUAUCUUUUCCCCUUAAAGUGGCGUCUACAGCGCUGCGGGGUGUUGCUGCGAUUCUAUAAUAAAAAUCCUAAAAUUUCAAUUGUAUUUAAAUCCUUACUAUAAAGUAAGGAUUAGCUAAUUUUUUUCUUCAUUCGUUAAAAAUGUUAUGAAUAUUAUCAACAAUCACUUAUUAAUAUAAAAAUAUAGAUGAUCUAAAGAGCCUAGUCUGUUACAUAUGGAUCAUUAAAUGAAAAUUUAACAAAAAAAUAUCAUUAGAUUUUAAUGAUUGCUCUGCUAAAAAUCAAUGCAUUCCACUGUCAAAAAUUUUGGCUGAAAUUUCUGAUACUUUUUUUGGGAAUUUUCAUCACAUUUCAAUUUUAACUUUCUUCCAACAGCGUUGUUUUUCUGUUGGUUCAUGGUCAGCGUUAAUUUGUCACAUUUUCUGUUUUUGUGAUACUGGAACUGCAAUAAUUGCUUUCUCGAAACCUUCGAUGUAAACGCCGAGGAGAAUUCGACUCAUCGGCAUAAUUUGCGGGCUGAUAAGCCGGUCUGGCAAUUUUAUUGCAAAAAACCGGAAUACUAGCGAGUUUGUGAUAACAGAAAAAUUCUUAGAAACAAGUUCAAUGAAAUAUUCAAUAAAUAUUCCAUUGUCGGUGACCGGAUUUUUCUUCCCCGAAAAAAUUUCUCGGAAAAAUCUCCCCGUGGAAAAAAAUCCCUCGUCUAAAUAUUCCCUCGGAAUUAUUUUUCCGGAAUUAUUUUUCCCUGAAAAUCGCCGAAAAAAAAAUCUCCGGCAAAAAUGAAAAAUAAACAUAUUACAAUUUUUAACUUUAUUGUUAAUGUUGGAAAGUAUUCUCGUUACUCCUCCAAGUUACACGUGAUAAUGACAAUGUAAUUUCAUGAUUGGUUGCUUGGAAAUAUGUUUCUUUUGAAAUGGAUUGUUUUGGUAGUGCAAGAUGAUGUUUUGUUUAAUGUUGUCAAUGUUUUUUUUUUAUGAAUCAGCGAUAGGACGAGAAUAUAAUGAAUGAUGAAGAUUCAUGGAUUAUUGAUGCAACAGAUUAAUUCGAAUUAUUUGGGGGAAUUGGUUCGAAAAUGUUGACAAUUAAUUUAUUGCAGUAACGUAAUUUAUUUAUUAUUGAUCUAUUGAAAAAGUUGAAUUCUCAUCUGGCAUGUCUUCGAAGAUUGAAGGAUCUAAUAAAUAAAAUUGACGUUGAUAAUG